ensembl:lncRNA
AUGCGGCCAGAAAUGGGUCUUCUGUGGAUUAUUUCAAAAUGAGGUCGUCAAAUUCUUGGCUGAGGUGGCUGUCAUCAGAUUGGAAAUCUAGUCUGUGGCUAAGAAGUCCUAAUAAAACUGCGAGGAGUCUGCUGAGUCACUGAUGUUCUGGUUUGGUGACCCUGCACCGAGGACACUGCAACUUUGCAAGCACUUCAACAGCAAGUCUUUGCGAAGACCGGAAAUGUCCAGACCAGCGCUACCCCAACAUGGAGCCAAAGAUGGUGUAACCUGGGAGGUCAUGACACAUGGAGUUUGCCCCCCAUUGCAGCGCAGCCCACGACAGACACCACACUAUAUUACCUCGACACAAUUGGUUCAAGAGCAGUGCAAGCAGAUGUUUCAGUACGGAGGCAGAUCUAGACGCAAACCGGCCUUCAUGUCUGGACCGGCUCUGAGCUGUUUAUGCAAUCCACACGCACACAGAUACACACACACACACACACACACACAUUAAAAUCUCUGGAACGUUAUCGAUCCUUCAGAACACAGGGGCUGGAGAGAGCAUAAACUGAUACAUGGAUUCCUGCCUUUACUCUCCUCCAGAAAACUGUUUUUUCCCUCUGUAACGAUGAGUUUAACAGAGCCACCUCUUUGAAAAGCCCUGCGUCUAGCUGGU